GUGUCAGCAGCCGCGGUAAUACGAAGGGUGCAAGCGUUACUCGGAAUUACUGGGCGUAAAGCGUGCGUAGGUGGUUCGUUAAGUCUGAUGUGAAAGCCCUGGGCUCAACCUGGGAAUGGCAUUGGAUACUGGCGACCUAGAGUGCGGUAGAGGGGUGUGGAAUUCCCGGUGUAGCAGUGAAAUGCGUAGAUAUCGGGAGGAACAUCUGUGGCGAAGGCGACACCCUGGACCAGCACUGACACUGAGGCACGAAAGCGUGGGGAGCAAACAGGAUUAGAUACCCCCGUAGUCC
rnacentral:rRNA from 1 species